rnacentral:misc_RNA from 1 species
CAAAUUCGAGGCGACAUGCUAACGGCGUGUCGUUAUUAAGGAACAAUGUCAAGCAUGCACCUCAUCGGUCUGACGAACUCAUGAUUGAAUUUUGGAAAAUAUCUUCAAUAUCAUCAAUCCAUGAAGGAUUUUUACAGGCUUCAAAUGGAAUGAGAUGCACUCUAAUUUGUUUCAAAUCACCUCCAGGAUUAAUACUCUAGCAAGAUCAGGUUGUAUCGUACACGCUCGCAAACUGUUCGAUGAAAUGCCAUACAGAGAUACGGUUGCUUGGAAUUCAAUGCUUACUAACUAUUCUCAUCUGGGUCUUCAUCAAGAGGCUCUCUCUCUCUUCCAACAUAUGAGAACCAGCAAUGAAAAACCUGAUCACUUCACUUUCACUGCAAUUUUAAGUGCAUGCGCGGGUUCAGGCUCCCUACUAAACGGAACCAAAAUGCAUGCUCUAGUCAUCGUUUCAGGAUACCAAUCUUCAUUGGCAGUCAAUAACUCCCUUAUAGAUAUGUAUGGGAAGUGUUUGAAUGCUUUUAGUGCUGGUGAAGUUUUUCAAGAAUUGGAUGAUACUAAUGAAGUAACAUGGUGUUCGCUUUUGUUUGCAUACACAAAUUCUGGUCAGUUUAAUGCGGCAAGGGAGGUUUUUAAUUUGAUGCCUACAAAGGUCGAUAUUGCUUGGAAUACAAUGAUUGCUGGCCUUAGCCGAUAUGGUGAAAUUGAAUUUUGUUUGGAUCUGUUUAAAAAGAUGCGACAAAGUUUGUGUGAGCCUGAUCAGUGGACUUACAGCGCCCUUGUAAGUGCUUGCACUGAAUCAUCGGAAUUCUUAUGCGGUUGUAUGUUGCAUAGUGUCAUUAUUAAGAAUGGUUGGAGCUCAGCAGUGGAGGCAAAGAAUUCAAUUCUGAGCUUUUAUGCUAAACUUGGUUCCUUGAAUGAUGCUAUGAAAGUUUUUGAACCCACUGGAAUACUAACACAGGUGUCUUGGAAUGCUAUCAUUGAUGCUCAUAUGAAAGCAGGAAACAUCCAUGAAGCAUUUCUCAUGUUUCAGUGCCUGCUGGAAAAGAACAUUGUUUCAUGGACAUCUAUGAUUACUGGGUAUGCCAAAAAUGGGUACGGAGAAGAAGCUCUUAGCUUCUUUGCUGGUAUGGUGAGCAAUCACUUGCUUCCAGAUGAUUUUACGUUUGGUGCUGUCCUUCAUGCGUGUUCAAAUUUGGCAGCACUAGGAAAUGGAAGAAUGAUCCAUGGAUCUGCCUUUCGCCGUGGUUUCAAUAAUUAUGUGUAUGUUGGCAAUGGCUUAGUUAACAUGUAUGCUAAGUGUGGAGAUUUAGAUGGGUCAAUUCUGGCAUUUGAUGAUAUUUAUGAAAAAGAUUUGGUCUCUUUUAAUGCUAUGUUGUUUGCAUUUGGGUUGCAUGGAAAGGCUAACCAAGCUUUGCAGUUAUAUGAAGAUAUGAUGGCAUCUGGGAAAAAACCUGAUAAAAUGACUUUCAUUGGCUUGUUAGUGACUUGUAGUCACUCGGGGCUUAUAGAAGAUGGUCGUGUGCUUUUCGAGUCAAUGAGGUCAGUUCAUGGGCUUUCCUACGAGGCAGAUCAUGUGGCAUGCAUGGUGGAUAUGCUUGGACGAGGUGGCUACUUAGCAGAAGCAAAAGAGUUGACCAAUAAGUAUUCAAAAACAGGCUAUGUUGAGGCCAAUUCAUGUGAGGCUUUGCUGGGAGCAUGUUUUGCACAUAGUGAAGUAGAAAUGGGGACCUGUUUUGGGGAGGCUUUGAAGGUUUUAGAACCUGACAAAGAGAUGAGCUAUGUGCUGCAAUCAAAUUUAUACUGUGCUAGAGGGCAAUGGAAGGAAGCAGCGAUGGUUAGAAAGGCAAUGGUAGAUGAAGGGUUGAAAAAAAUGCCUGGUUGCAGUUGGAUUGAAGUGAGAAAUAAGGUGACGUCUUUUGUAGCAGGAAACUACAUCCACACAUGGAAGAGUUGUAUAAGAUAUUAUACCUCCUGGAGUUUGAAAUGAGAAAUCCAUGCUUUAGUGAUGGUUGUAAUUGAUUGAAUUCCAAGUCUAAUGUUCAGUAAUUACAGAGGUGAAACCAAAGUCGGCUUCUUUGUAAAUAGACCCUCACAAGACCCGCACAACCAUCUUCUGUUGAAACAUGGAAGGAUCAGUUAGUGGCUAAAGGCUGUUCUGAAACAUGGGGAACCCUCCAAUGAAGAAGCUUCAAAUCCAGAGCCAGGCGGAAGACGCUUGGAUCUUUCAGUUCAAAUACCCCCUAAACCUAUAGGUUUUGGCACUAGUAGGAGUGGAAACGGUUUAAUCCACUCCAAAAAUUCAUGUAAAGGCAGUUCAUCAUCAGGAGGUUUAUUGCGGGGUUUAAGUUUUAAGAAAAAAGGUGUUGUACCUGAUGGUGAGAGGAGCUUUCUCCUUAAGUCAGAUCCUACAACAGCUCCAGAUAGUCCUGUUAUGGCUAGUCUCAGGUCUGCUUGGAAAAGAUGCAUGUCUCUUCCUGUUACACCUACAUCAAAUUUGUCACCUUCAGUUUCCACCCCCAUUUCUGCAAGAAUGCCUGGUGAUUCUCAUAAAACACGUAAAGGACCAGCUCAGGGAGUUGUUUCUAGGUCCCUCUCAGUGCCUGGGCAGAAUAUUGUAAUUGUGCGGUCUUCAUCUUUUGCUAGUCACAAUGAGAAUGACCAGACAACUACAAGCAAUGGUAUAAAGUGGGACAUCAUCCAUUAUCCAAGUUCUUUAUUUAUAUUGUUCAUUCUUCUUAUUGAGUUGGGUGUAGUUACAUGUUCAUGGUUUUAGAAAUUCUCAGUAUAUAGAAUUGGGUGAAGUUACUAUGAUUGUAAAAAUUCUAGGUGGUUCUAGUUUUUGGAUGCUUGCCUAGGAUGUAAUAAUCACAACAAAAGUUUUAUGUGUUUUUCACAAUGAUAAUAUACUGGCAGUCUACUUUUUAAAACUCUAAGCUGUUGAAGCUAGUAUUUGUGGAUGUGGAAAUUGACUAAACUCGCAGGUUUUUCUUGAUUUGGUGGGAUAAUUUAUCAACAGGUUCUUAUCUAUUUUUCUUGCAUGCCAUUAAGAUAAUUGCAGAACAAUCAAUAAUGAAGGGGCUGUAUGUGUCAUUCUUGCACUGGUAUCCUGAACCGUAUGCCCAUGUAACUUUUCUUCUUGGAAAAACAGAUCAAAUAUCUGCUGUUCCUGUAGAAGUUGAUGAUGAAGAAAUUCUGAAGAGGAAGCUGUAUGUAGGAUCUGUCUUGAUGUAUGUGAAGAAGGAAAUACACUCAAAAUGGAGUGCAGUUGCAAAGGUGCUCUUCGACUGGUACAUGAAGAAUGUGCAGUCAAGUGGUUUAGCACAAAAGGAAAUAAGAACUGUGAUGUAUGUGGGCAACAGGUUAAGAACUUACCUGUAACUUUGCUUCGAGUGACAAGCGCUGCUCAAAGCAAUAACAGACCAGAACAGAGUAACCAUUCGAGGACACAAUCAAUAAGGUAUCUUAAUAUGAGUUUAAUCAUGUUCUAACUGUUGAGCAAAUGUCUGAAUUUGGUUAUUUGAACAAUCAGCAUAACCAAAUCUUUUUUCUGUUCGUUAUCUUUUUACAUCAACUUAGCUGAAUAGUCUUCUUAGAUUCGAGUGACAUUCAGUUGCUUGUCAAAUGUAUAUUUUCUAGUCUGCUAAUUUUGAUCUUUUGAUAUAUUGAUGCUUUGUGCAGUGCAUGGCAGGACUUUGUAGUGCUUGUCUUAAUUAGCACCAUAUGCUAUUUCUUCUUUCUGGAGCAAUUAUUGGUAUGUUUUUAGCAGCUAGGGAGCAUAAAAUUAACUUAUAAACUUGUAAUUUAGCUCAUUCUGAUAACUAAAGUUUUCUUAUGCAUUUGCCAAAAUAUAAAUGCUGCAAUGAACGAGUUGGUUGGUUGUCUAUUGCAUAUUAUAUCUCUUAUUUGAGGAGUUUGCUAGUACCAUGUAAAAAUACUUGGGUUGAAUAAUACCUGUAAAUAAAGGCCCUAUUAUUCUAUUAAUUGCCACAAAAUUUGUAAAUGGUCUUGCCAGUCUUACCAGGUACUUCCCUAUAAAGUGGCAUAAUAAAUCUGAGUAGACGAGGCACAAUCCCCUAGUUAUAUUUGAACUGAUGUCCAGUGGCAUAAUAAAUCUGAGUUAAGCAUAAUUGACUUGAAUGUUUAGUUUCACUUGUAGGGGUUAGGUUUUGUCAUGAUUAUGCACCGGCCAAAUUGCUUAAAAUUAUUGUCUCUAGGCCAGUGUAUGUUCUAGAAACGACUGAAGCCUAUCUACAAUGAUAGAAUGUUGAUUAUGGAUCUUGCUGUUAAGGCACAGAAAUUACAUUCUUCCCAUAAUGUUGGCAUAACAAUGUUAACUCUGUUUUUAAAAUUUUGUAGAUUCGUGACAUGAAGACACAAGCAGUCAUAAUUGCUGUGCCAUUUGCGUUUACUUUGGGCCUUUUGGCAUCUAUCUUUGCUGUCAUUUUAGCAAUCAGAGAGUAUAUAUGGACAUAUGCUGCUCUUGAAUUUGCACUCAUAGCCGUUUUUGUCCACUUAUUUUAUAGUAUGGUAAGUAACAUAUCUGGCUUUUACUCUUUCUUCCUCUCCAACAACAAAAACAACAAAAACAAAGAAAAUCCCCCUCUGAAGUAGCUGUGUUCUGUUUUCAAUAGAGGAAUCAAUGCAGUGUUGGCUUGUGGAUUUAUGUGGUAAUGUUAAUCCAGAAGGACGGUCAUUUCUUGUCCAUGAAGAUGCAAUGGUUUUCAUUACUUAUUGUUCAAUACAUGGAUGGUGUUGGAGGGUAAAGGAAAAACUGGUAAUUAGGAUAUCAUAUAGUUUCAGUAUUUUAAGCUGCAGGGUUUGGGUCAGAAACAAUUUAAAUACCAUAGGUGCGCUUUAAAGAUCAUUUUUGAAUUAAGCUUUUUAAAUAGGUUAUCUAACUAGCUCUGCUGCCAUAUUCCAGUACCAUCGAUACUUGGGAUUUCUAUACCAUCUUAGUUCCACUCUAUCCAUCUGCAGCCAUGCAACUAGACCUUUCAAGAACUAUAAGGGCAAGUUUUGCUAGUGACGUUUCCUUAGCAUAACAUGAAAACUUGUUUUUCUUGUAUUCUGAUUCAUUCCCGCAUUCAAUCUUUAUACAGUUUUCUUCUUUUUAGAAUCUUUAAUUUCUAUUACUUCCAAUACAAAUGCAUCUCAAGGUCAGGUUUGUGAACCUUCUCAAAAUUUGCUCUUAUCAAAAGUUAAUUAGAAAAGAGAACAUGAUGAAGCCCAUUCCAACUUAGCCAAGAGGUUGAUAAGAAAUGCCAGAACGCAAAGCUAUUGAGGAAAACCAUCACCCAUAUCAGAGGACCAAAAUCAGUAAGUGAUUGCCAAUUGCAGCUACAUUAAUGAGACAGCCAACUGCUUCAUUCCUCAUGAAAACAGCAUGCAAUUUUUCUAACAUCAAUAGUAAAUCUUGGUAAAUUUUUAAGUUGUAUGACAUUCAGGCUAUUUUCAUUUGCUUCACUGUUUCCAAUUUCUUUAUUUGGCUAUUUACACAUUGUUGGAAGUGGGAAUUAUUCCUUACACCUGACUAUUCUUCUUGGCGUGCUAGAGUUUCGAAUUUGACAGUGUAUCUCUGUUCUCUUGCUCUUUAGAUUAGUAAAGGAUAUUAGCUUUUAUUUUAGGAUACUUCUGAACUUUUUGAUUUCACUGAAAGCAGGAAAAGUAAUCUAAAUUCGUUAUAGGUGGAAUGUGCUCGAGUUCAGAACUUUAGAUGUCCAUUAACUCAUGUCAUUGAUUAAAGUCUCGUGAAACUUUGCUGCA